GCGAACGCUGGCGGCAGGCUUCACACAUGCAAGUCGAGCGGGCACUUUCGGGUGUCAGCGGCGGACGGGUGAGUAACGCGUGGGAACGUGCCCUCUGGUUCGGAAUAACUCAGGGAAACUUGAGCUAAUACCGGAUACGCCCUUUUGGGGAAAGGCUUGCUGCCGGAGGAUCGGCCCGCGUCUGAUUAGCUAGUUGGUGAGGUAACGGCUCACCAAGGCGACGAUCAGUAGCUGGUCUGAGAGGAUGAUCAGCCACACUGGGACUGAGACACGGCCCAGACUCCUACGGGAGGCAGCAGUGGGGAAUAUUGGACAAUGGGCGCAAGCCUGAUCCAGCCAUGCCGCGUGAGUGAUGAAGGCCUUAGGGUUGUAAAGCUCUUUUAUCCGGGACGAUAAUGACGGUACCGGAGGAAUAAGCCCCGGCUAACUUCGUG
rnacentral:rRNA from 1 species